rnacentral:rRNA from 1 species
UACGAAGGGGGCUAGCGUUGCUCGGAAUCACUGGGCGUAAAGGGUGCGUAGGCGGGUCUUUAAGUCAGGGGUGAAAUCCUGGAGCUCAACUCCAGAACUGCCUUUGAUACUGAGGAUCUUGAGUACGGGAGAGGUGAGUGGAACUGCGAGUGUAGAGGUGAAAUUCGUAGAUAUUCGCAAGAACACCAGUGGCGAAGGCGGCUCACUGGCCCGUUACUGACGCUGAGGCACGAAAGCCAGGGGAGCAACAGG